rnacentral:rRNA from 1 species
CCUACGGGAGGCAGCAGUGAGGAAUAUUGGUCAAUGGACGCAAGUAAGACAAAGCAAAGCAACGUGCAGGAAGACGGCUCUAUGAGUUGUAAACUGCUUUUGUACGAGGGUAAACGCAGAUACGCGUAUCUGUCUGAAAGUAUCUUACGAAUAAGGAUCGGCUAACUCCGUGCCAGCAGCCGCGGUAAUACGGAGGAUACAAGCGUUAUCCGGAUUUAUUGGGUUUAAAGGGUGCGUAGGCGGGCGGAUAAGUAAGAGGUGAAAUCCCGAGGCUCAACUUCGGAAUUGCCGUUGAUACUGUUCGGCUAGAGAAUAGUUGCGGUAGACGGAAUGUAUGGUGUAGAGGUGAAAUGCUUAGAGAUCAUACAGAACACCGAUUGCGAAGGCAGCUUACCAAGCUACUUCUGACGUUGAGGCACGAAAGCGUGGGGAGCAAACAGGAUUAGAUACCCCUGUAGUC